rnacentral:misc_RNA from 1 species
UAGCCAAUUAGGGCGGCAGG